UCAUUCAAAAAGCGAAGGGAGAUCCUUAGGAAACCUCUAGAGGGAUAACUAAUCAGAUCCUCAGAAGGCCACCAAGAGUGCAUGCCACAGGUACAAGCUCACCAUCAGCACAUAAUGCCUCUCAUAUGAAGAUGAAAAGUGCUAGAUGCUACGGGCACAAGAUCGUUACAGGCACACAACGUCACUCGUGAAGAAUAACUAAUCAAACCCUCAAAAGGUCACUGAGAGUGCAUGCCAUAGGCAUAAGCUCACCACCGGCACACAAUACCUCUAGUGCGAAGAUGAGAAGUGCUAGAUGCACAGGCACGAGAUCGCCGCAAGCACACAGUGCCACUCAUGAGGGAUAACUAAUCAGACCCUCAAAAAACCAUCGAGAGUGUAUGCCACAGGCAUAAGUUCACCGAUGGCACACAAUGCCUCUCGCAAGAAAAUGAGAAGUGUUGGAUGCCGCAGGUACAAGAUUGCUAUAGGCACACUACGCCACUUGUGAGGGAUAACUAAUUAAACCCUCAGAAGGCCACCAAGAGUGCAUGCCACAGGCACAAGCUCGCCAUCGACACAUAAUGCCUCUCAUGUGAAGAUAAGAAGUACUAGAUGCUACAGGCAUAAGAUCGCCGUAGACACAUAAUGCUACUCAUGAAGGAUAACUAAUCAAACCCUCAGAAGGCCAUCGAGAGUGCAUGCCAUAGGCACAUGCUCACUGCCGGCACAUAAUACCUCUCACAUGAAGAUGAGAAGUGCUAGAUAUUGCAAGCACA
rnacentral:lncRNA from 1 species